UCCUUUCUCUCCAUCUGCAUCUUCUAGUUUAAAGGUUUGAGUUCAGUUUUUUGUUUCGGCUAUGGGGUUGCUCAUGGAUUUUCCAUUCCUUUGAUCGAAGGCGCCUGGAAUGGAUCAUCUGUUUCUCGACCUACUCAUUGAUCUUUUCUGGCCGUUUAUUUUUAUAUGUUGUUAAGCUUUUUAGUUUUGUAGCUCUUGGUGGUUAAUUUGAAGUUGGUUUGUUUUGGAGCCAUUAAAUCUCUUGCCCGGAAUCACUGACACUUCCCUGAGUAUGGGGAAGACUGGCUGGUUCUUGCUAAAGCUUCAGAUCCCUCUGGUGAUUGGUUGUUCCCC
rnacentral:lncRNA from 1 species